UUAUGAUUCAACGCAUUUUCACUCAAUUUGGAAUAAAAGUAUUAAAGAACAAAUGGAUAGGCUCUGGAUACCAUCUUAAAAGUAGAAUGAAUCAUUUUUAAUAAUAUUUUUUUCUCUCAUAAAAAACCAGUGUGCUGUGUUUACCACCAAUAUUUAUAGAACAGUGAAACAGAUUAACUAAGAAAUUUAAAAAGAAUAAUUAUUCUUAAGAUUUAAAAGCCAAAAGAAAGAAUACAGUUGUGCUAUCUCUCAAUCGAAUGAAGUUACGUAGAAGAUAAAAUCUCAACAGCUUCCAACUGUGCAAACUAUUAAGGUGCUGCUGCAACAUUCUCAACUUUCGGAACGUACCCUAAAAGCUUACAAGCGUACUCGAGUAAGACAGGAACGUAAGGUUGAUCGGGAAAAAGAAUGGGCCAACAGUUGUCGCCGAGCAGAGUGAUUGCUUUGCAGCAUUUAGGUUCGAGUUCAUCGAACUUCUUGUGCGAAACAGCCUCGUUGAUUGCCUCAACGCAACCUUCUACACUUAUGAACGACAUGAGGCAUCCCCCAAGACUUUGGGUUUCCUCUACUGAUCCCAAGGAAACUGCAGCAAUGGAGGUGACGACUAAGCAGAAAAUGAUGAGGGUUUUUGAUGUUGUUGCUUCCAUGGAAUUUGGUCAAAUGAAAACCUAGACCGAAAUUUACCAUUGGCUCUGAGUGGGAAUUUAUAGAGAAACUUUUCCGAUUAAUGUUUGUCUUAAUUGAAAAAUUGAUAGUUGGCAAAAUUGCAC
rnacentral:lncRNA from 1 species